AGUAAGCCAGAUAGUCGCGGCUAUAAUCGUAAGAGAAUAGAUGAGGAAAGUCCGGGCUCCACAGAGCAAUGGUGCUGGGUAACUCCCAGUAAGGGUAACCUUAAGGAAAGUGCAACAGAAAAUAACCGCCAGGCUAAUGUUAUCAUUAACCUGGUAAGGAUGAAAAGGCGAGGUAAGAGCUCACCAGUAAUAUGGUGACAUAUUAGCUGUGUAAACCCCACUUGGAGCAACACCUUUAAAAGAGAAGAUAAAUGCUGCUCGCAGACUUCUUGGUAGGUGGCUUGAGGUAUAUAGAAAUAUAUAUCCUAGAUAAAUGACUAUCUAAUACAGAACCCGGCUUAUAGACUUACUU
rnacentral:RNase_P_RNA from 1 species